rnacentral:antisense_RNA from 1 species
UUUGACACGACAUUGCUCACAUUGCUUCCAGUGUAAUUUAUAGCUUAUUGGUUAAGCGACCACAUC